GAGGCCUCCUUCUCCCCAACCCGUUGUCCCAUCAGGACUUUUCAGAAUCACCUCUGGGCCCCACUCUGUCACCUCCAUGAGAACAGAUGACACCUUGUUUCAUGAUUGCUUACAUCCGUGUCCAGGCCACUUUCUAGACUCCUCCCCCGCACCCCCCCCCCCCCCCCCCAGGGACAGAACCCAUCUGCUGGGUUUUGCUCCAGCUCAAUCCCUGGGAAACGCGUGUUGAAUUUGAGUGGAAACGAGAACUCAGCAACCUUGACGUGCAUCGGUCCCUAGCUCCUGGCCUGCAAACAUCUGUACACCCCAGAGCGGCCGGGGGAGGGGGUGGGGGUGACAGGUGGAGUCCAACUGUGCUGUUGACCCCGAGCGAGCGGGACACAGAGCAAGAGAUUUAAUCUCUGUGAGAGUCUCCCUUCCCUCAACUAUAAAACAGAGCUAAUAAUAGGGCCUACCUUUCCCGACUGCUGUGAGGAUUAGCACAGGGGCUGGUAAUACACAGAGUUCAGUAAAUGCUGCUAUAAUUAUCGUUAAUCACGCGGGAUUUACGAAGCCAUUACAAGUGCACCCCGGCCAUCCGUCAGUCUCAUUCCACACACAUUUCCUGAGGACAGGGCGAGAGAAUCCAGCGGGCUCCAGGGGACCAUUCUCAAAGGGGCCUGUGAACUCAAAAAAAUAACAACAAAAGGUCAAUGCCAGAUACAACUGCCUUGGAGAGCAUGUGGCAGGACCAGAGAAAGUGGGCCCUUGAGCACAAGGCAACGUGUCUGCAAAUAUUUUUUGCAACCCUGCUUGAAAGAGCACAAUAUUGGAGGAAAGGUAAAGUGUCCCUCAUCGGAAGAAUGGGUCCAUCAACGAGAGCGUGUUCAUACACUAGAAUAUGCAACAUCUUUGCAAGGGAAAGAGCUUGAGCUCCAAGUACCCGUGCAGAUGAAACUCACAAACAAAAGCAAGCUGCAGAAGGUCACAGACGUGAUACUAUUUAUGCAACAUUUAACAACAUGCAAGGAGACCGGCUACAGCAGUUAUACAUAUAUACAUAUGUAGCAAAUGCAUUUUUAAGUUUUAUUUAUUUAUUUACUGUGAGAGUGAGGGAGCGAGAGGGAGGAGCGAGGGAGGAGCAGAGAGAGGGAGAGGGGGAAUCCCAAGCAGGCUCGGCAUUGUUAGCAAGGAGCCUGACCUCAUGAACUGCGAGACCGUGACCUGAGCAGAAACCAAGAGUCGGUCACUUAACCAACUG
rnacentral:lncRNA from 1 species